AGCGGCGGACGGGUGAGUAAUGCCUGGGAAUUUGCCCGGUUGUGGGGGAUAACCAUUGGAAACGAUGGCUAAUACCGCAUAAACCCUACGGGGAAAAGGGGAGGCUCUUCGGACUUCUCGCAAUUGGAUAAGCCCAGGUGGGAUUAGCUAGUAGGUGAGGUAAAGGCUCACCUAGGCGACGAUCCCUAGCUGUUCUGAGAGGAUGAUCAGCCACACUGGAACUGAGACACGGUCCAGACUCCUACGGGAGGCAGCAGUGGGGAAUAUUGCACAAUGGGGGAAACCCUGAUGCAGCCAUGCCGCGUGUGUGAAGAAGGCCCUAGGGUUGUAAAGCACUUUCAGCGAGGAGGAAAGGUUAGUAGUUAAUACCUGCUAGCUGUGACGUUACUCGCAGAAGAAGCACCGGCUAACUCCGUGCCAGCAGCCGCGGUAAUACGGAGGGUGCGAGCGUUAAUCGGAAUUACUGGGCGUAAAGCGUGCGCAGGCGGUUUGCUAAGUCAGAUGUGAAAGCCCCGGGCUCAACCUGGGAAUCGCAUUUGAAACUGGCAAACUAGAGUCUUGUAGAGGGGGGUAGAAUUUCAGGUGUAGCGGUGAAAUGCGUAGAGAUCUGAAGGAAUACCGGUGGCGAAGGCGGCCCCCUGGACAAAGACUGA
rnacentral:rRNA from 1 species